AAGGCAUCAAUGAUGAAUAAUCCAAUUCGUUAUUCUUGCACUUUGAUUGUUAAAUGAAGAUAAUAAUGGGGAAACAUUAUCUGAGAUGCUU
rfam:Capsicum annuum cultivar Zunla-1 chromosome 1, whole genome shotgun sequence